AGAGUUUGAUCCUGGCUCAGAUUGAACGCUGGCGGCAGGCCUAACACAUGCAAGUCGAGCGAGAAAGGUCUUCGGACUGAGUACAGCGGCGGACGGGUGAGUAACGCGUAGGAAUCUACCCAGUAGUGGGGGACAACUUGGGGAAACCCAAGCUAAUACCGCAUACGCCCCAAGGGGGAAAGCGGGGGCUCUCUUCGGAGACCUCGCGCUAUUGGAUGAGCCUGCGUCGGAUUAGCUAGUUGGUGGGGUAAAGGCCUACCAAGGCGACGAUCCGUAGCUGGUCUGAGAGGACGAUCAGCCACACUGGGACUGAGACACGGCCCANACUCCUACGGGAGGCAGCAGUGGGGAAUAUUGCGCAAUGGGCGAAAGCCUGACGCA
rnacentral:rRNA from 1 species